CACGUAGGGCGCAAGCGUUGUCCGGAAUUAUUGGGCGUAAAGAGCGUGUAGGCGGCUCGGUAAGUCCGCUGUGAAAGUCCAGGGCUCAACCCUGGAAUGCCGGUGGAAACUGUCGAGCUCGAGUCCGGAAGAGGCGAGUGGAAUUCCUGGUGUAGCGGUGAAAUGCGCAGAUAUCAGGAGGAACACCAAUGGCGAAGGCAGCUCGCUGGGACGGUACUGACGCUGAGACGCGAAAGCGUGGGGAGCAAACAGG
rnacentral:rRNA from 1 species